AGUGGCGGACGGGUGAGUAACGCGUGAGAAUUUGCCUUCAGGACGGGGACAACGAUUGGAAACGAUCGCUAAUACCCGAUAUGCCUAUCAGUGAAAGGUUUUCCGCCUGAAGAUAAGCUCGCGUCCGAUUAGCUAGUUGGUGGAGUAAAGGUUCACCAAGGCGAUGAUCGGUAGCUGGUCUGAAAGGAUGAUCAGCCGCACUGGGACUGAGACACGGCCCAGACUCCUACGGGAGGCAGCAGUGAGGAAUUUUCCGCAAUGGGCGCAAGCCUGACGGAGUAAUACCGCGUGAGGGAAGACGCUCUAGGGAGUGUAAACCUCUUUUAUUCGGGAAGAAAUUUUGACGGUACUGAAUGAAUCAGCCUCGGCUAACUCCGCGCCAGCAGCCGCGGUAAUACGGAGGAGGCAAGCGUUAUCCGGAAUGAUUGGGCGUAAAGAGUCUGUAGGUGGAUUGAUAAGUCUGUUGUGAAAGCGUGGAGCUCAACUCCAUAGACGCAAUGGAAACUAUCAGACUAGAGAACAGGAGGGGCAGAGGGAAUUCCUAGAGUAGCGGUGAAAUGCGUAGAGAUUAGGAAGAACACCGGAGGCGAAAGCGCUCUGCUGGACUGAUUCUGACACUGAGAGACGAAAGCUAGGGGAGCGAAAGGGACUAGAUACCCCUGUAGUCCUAGCCGUGAACGAUGGAUACU
rnacentral:rRNA from 1 species